UAUUGUUAAUCUACUGAAUGCAAACUUACAUUGUGUUAACAAUACUCCGAAUACUCACAGUUUAAGUAUUAGUAAUCUGAUCAGCAAUAUUUUACCUACAGGAGUUAAUGUUAGUAAUCCAUUGCAAGGAGUAUUCAUAUUUCCAGGAACUAAAUGGUGUGGACCGGGAAGAAGAGCAAAAAAUGACUCGGAUCUGGGUAUAUUCAAAAAAACUGACUCCUGCUGUUGACAGCACGAUAAAUGUCCGGUAGUGAUUAAACCUGGAGAAACCAAAUAUAACUUAACCAACAACGGUCUUACUAGCCGACUGUCUUGCGAAUGUGACCGGCAAUUUCGCCAAUGUCUUAAAACUGUAAACGAGGA